rnacentral:rRNA from 1 species
UACGGAGGGGGCGAGCGUUGUCCGAAGUUACUGGGCGUAAAGCGCGCGUAGGCGGGUUGGCAAGUCCGCUGUGAAAGCCUGGUGCUUAACGCCGGAGGGUCGGUGGAUACUGCCAGUCUUGAAGGUGCUAGGGGAAGAUGGAAUUACCAGUGUAGCGGUGAAAUGCGUAGAUAUUGGUAGGAACACCAGUGGCGAAGGCGGUCUUCUGGAGCACUCUUGACGCUGAGGCGCGAAAGCUGGGGGAGCGAACGGG